rnacentral:tRNA from 1 species
GCGUCGGUGGUUAUACUCGCCUACCACGCGGGUGGCCCGGGUUCGAUUCCCGCCCGACGCA